GAACGCUGGCGGCGUGCCUAAUACAUGCAAGUCGAACGCACUCUCGUUUAGAUUGAAGGAGCUUGCUCCUGAUUGAUAAACAUUUGAGUGAGUGGCGGACGGGUGAGUAACACGUGGGUAACCUGCCCUAAAGUGGGGGAUAACAUUUGGAAACAGAUGCUAAUACCGCAUAAAACCUAACACCGCAUGGUGUAGGGUUGAAAGAUGGUUUCGGCUAUCACUUUAGGAUGGACCCGCGGUGCAUUAGUUAGUUGGUGAGGUAAAGGCUCACCAAGACCGUGAUGCAUAGCCGACCUGAGAGGGUAAUCGGCCACACUGGGACUGAGACACGGCCCAGACUCCUACGGGAGGCAGCAGUAGGGAAUCUUCCACAAUGGACGAAAGUCUGAUGGAGCAACGCCGCGUGAGUGAAGAAGGUUUUCGGAUCGUAAAACUCUAUUGUUGGAGAAGAAUGUAUCUGAUAGUAACUGAUCAGGUAGUGACGGUAUCCAACCAGAAAGCCACGGCUAACUACGUGCCAGCAGCCGCGGUAAUACGUAGGUGGCAAGCGUUGUCCGGAUUUAUUGGGCGUAAAGCGAGCGCAGGCGGUUUCUUAAGUCUGAUGUGAAAGCCUUCGGCUCAACCGAAGAAGUGCAUCGGAAACUGGGAAACUUGAGUGCAGAAGAGGACAGUGGAACUCCAUGUGUAGCGGUGAAAUGCGUAGAUAUAUGGAAGAACACCAGUGGCGAAGGCGGCUGUCUGGUCUGUAACUGACGCUGAGGCUCGAAAGCAUGGGUAGCAAACAGGAUUAGAUACCCUGGUAGUCCAUGCCGUAAACGAUGAGUGCUAGGUGUUGGAGGGUUUCCGCCCUU
rnacentral:rRNA from 1 species